rnacentral:rRNA from 1 species
ACAGCAGCCGCCACGGGAAUACGGAGGGUGCAAGCGUUGUCCGGAUUUAUUGGGUUUAAAGGGUGCGUAGGCGGCUAUUUAAGUCAGCGGUGAAAGACUCCGGCUCAACCGGAGCAGUGCCAUUGAUACUGGAUAGCUUGAGUGUUGGAGGGGUACAUGGAAUUGAUGGUGUAGCGGUGAAAUGCAUAGAUACCAUCAGGAACACCGAUAGCGAAGGCAUUGUACUGGCCAACAACUGACGCUGAGGCACGAAAGCAUGGGGAGCGAACAGGAUUAGAUACCCGUGUAGUCCCUGUCUCUUAUAC